UAACACCUUGGAAUAACUUUGGAGACCCGGCGGCGCAGCCCUCGCUUUUGGGUCGGAUAUUUAAGGGGGCGCGUCCCGGCGAGGGGCACACACCUCCUCACCCUCUGCAGCCAUGAACACUCGCACCCUGCUGGUGGUGCUGCUGGUGUGCAGCGCCUUGCUGGCCAGCACCGGCGACACCACCACCGAGGCCUCGCCGGUGCCGGAGCCUGAGGCCGACCCAAGGGUCAGACCAAAACCCAGACCCAAACCAAAACCCAGACCAAGACCCCCACGCUUACCCAGGCCAGAUCGGAGACCAAGACCAGGCCGGGGGUGACCGCCCGCUGAGGCUCUUCCUUCCCUGGGGUGGCUGUGAGUGUCAAGGCUCCUGCAAGUGCUGACCCCUCCACCAUGACCUGACCCGCACGAACACCGCCAACGGACCACGGACCACGGACAACUCUCAUCUUAUGCUUUCACUAUAUUUACUCCUCAAUAAAGGCAUGCAGUUCUCCCGC